rnacentral:rRNA from 1 species
UAGUAACGGCGAGUGAAGCGGGAUGAGCUCAAGCUUAAAAUCUCCGUGCAAUUUUUGCACGGCGAAUUGUAGUCUAUAGAGGCGUGGUCAGUGUGGGCACUUGGGGUAAGUUCCUUGGAAGAGGACAGCAUGGAGGGUGAUACUCCCGUUCAUCCCUAAGUUGCUUGUGCGUACGACCCGUUUUCUUUGAGUCGCGUUGUUUGAGAAUGCAGCGCAAAGUAGGUGGUAAAUUCCAUCUAAAGCUAAAUAUUGGUGCGAGACCGAUAGCAUACAAGUACCGUGAGGGAAAGAUGAAAAGAACUUUGAAAAUAGAGUUAAAGAGUACCUGAAACUGCUGAAAGGGAACCAAAUCGUUUCCAGUGUCUAUAAUCCGUGGUAUAUUACAUUGGCGAGUGUGUGCGUGCGUGUGCUGUUGCAGUGGCUUUUUGGCUGCGCUCGGCGUGUGUGCUGUGUGUGCUUGCUGGUGCCCUGUACUGCGGUGGGACGUCAAGGUCAGUUCGUAUGCUGCGGGAAAUGACCACCGAGGAGGUAGGGCUUACGCUUGCGUUUGUCUGUUAUAUCUUGGUGGACGAGUCGUCGCGGUUGGGACUGAGGUGCCUACAACGUGCUUUUGAGUGGGCUUGGGUCUCCGUGUGCGCCGUGUGCGGAUAGCUUGCUAUGCGUGUGUGGUUGUGUGUGGAU